rnacentral:rRNA from 1 species
CCUACGGGAGGCAGCAGUGGGGAAUAUUGCACAAUGGGGGAAACCCUGAUGCAGCGACGCCGCGUGAGUGAAGAAGUAAUUCGUUAUGUAAAGCUCUAUCAGCAGGGAAGAAAAUGACGGUACCUGAGUAAGAAGCCCCGGCUAACUACGUGCCAGCAGCCGCGGUAAUACGUAGGGGGCAAGCGUUAUCCGGAUUUACUGGGUGUAAAGGGAGCGUAGACGGCAGUGCAAGGCUGGAGUGAAAGGCGGGGGGUCAACCCCCGGACUGCUCUGGAAACUGUACGGCUGGAGUGCAGGAGAGGUAAGUGGAAUUCCUAGUGUAGCGGUGAAAUGCGUAGAUAUUAGGAGGAACACCAGUGGCGAAGGCGGCUUACUGGACUGUAACUGACGUUGAGGCUCGAAAGCGUGGGGAGCAAACAGGAUUAGAUACCCCAGUAGUC